AUUUUUAAUGAUUAUGGAUGAGAUAAAGUGUGGUAUCCGUCUUAUCAGUUUAAUAUCUGAUAUGUCCCCUAUUCGGGAACUAUAUAUUGAAUGGAUUUAUAAUUUUUUUUGUCUUUUUGCUUCUGUUGCUCUUGGCAUGUGACGGAUAGACCUGUUUCUGUGGGUUCAGUGCUCCCCCUGUAUUAGACUGUUU